GUGGAAUGCGCAGAUAUCAGGAGGAACACCGAUGGCGAAGGCAGAUCUCUGGGCCGUAACUGACGCUGAGGAGCGAAAGGGUGGGGAGCAAACAGGCUUAGAUACCUGGUAGUCCACCCCGUAAACGUUGGGAACUAGUUGUGGGGUCCUUCCAGGAUUCCGUGACGCAGCUAACGCAUUAAGUUCCCCGCCUGGGGAGUACGGCCGCAAGGCUAAAACUCAAAGGAAUUGACGGGGACCCGCACAAGCGGCGGAGCAUGCGGAUUAAUUCGAUGCAACGCGAAGAACCUUACCAAGGCUUGACAUAACGAGAACGGGCCAGAAAUGGUCAACUCUUUGGACACUCGUAAACAGGUGGUGCAUGGUUGUCGUCAGCUCGUGUCGUGAGAUGUUGGGUUAAGUCCCGCAACGAGCGCAACCCU
rnacentral:rRNA from 1 species